CGUCACUUGUGUUGACGACCUGUCCCGACGCCGCGGCUGCAGCUGGACACCGUUACGAGGAGUUUGAUUUCGGGGUUUGGUGGUGUUCGGAUGGUGAAGCGCUUCCUCAGCCUUCGUUUGGUUUGUAGAGACGAUGCGGUGCCUGGAGGAGCGAACCGCUUCGACACCACGGCCUCACGAUGGAAGAGUGUUCCGUGUUGGGUCAAUGACAGUGGACUCGCCUGAGCUAACAUGCCAACCCCAAACCCAACUACGUUUGAGAACAUUUCUUUCUGUUGAAGUCAGCUGCUACAUCGCCAUGGCAACCUUCCCUCGAUCCCUCCUCACGGACACUGUCGGAACCAGCUGCUAUUCUCAACGGAGUAAAAUAGAUGUUCAUGUUAAUUUCGCUUUGCGUUGGCAGUGUUGAGCGUCUCUGCCGUACUUGAUCAACUUUUCUAGCUCUUAUUUUAUCACGGAUGUUCUUUGACAGUAGUGGAUGGGAGGCGCGUUUGUGGGAAAACACUCAAUCCCUUGUCAAUACAUUUAAAUCACGGCGUUAUUUACAUGUUUCUGCAGUACAUCGAUUUGUCCACAAGGCGCCGCCACAGGGCGCAGUACAGUUGGUCUCCGUGACGGUGGAUGGAGCUCAUGAGCAGAGACACCUGCGGAGGCGCCGCCCGCCGAGGAACAAGCACCGCCCGCCCGGGAGAGCACGGACGGCCCCGCUCCAGAUGCGAGCGCUCCAGGUAUCCGAAAGGUCGAGGAGGACAUACACUGGAGAUCAAAAUUAGAGAACAAUCUACAGUUUACUAAAUUUUAAGGUCACUGCAUAAUCAUAUUUGAAAUUAUCCAACAGGAUUAAAAGAGCAAUAUUUUAAGUAUAUUUCAGGAGUUGACAUAUUAGAAGAAGAACACUGAGAACACUUCAGGAUACCUCCUAGUUAUUGGUGUUAAUCUGGCACCGGGUGCUAACCUCCUUGCUUACCUGACAACCCCUGUUUAACUGGCAAGAACUUCAACAACAUAUGGUUCCUUUCCUGCGCUCAUCAGCCACCAGUGUUUAUGCAGAACAACGCUCCCUGUGACACAGCAGGUGACAAAGUUAUGGCGAAGAAACCCACUGCAGUCACUGAACUGUGGAAAAGACUGCAAGAAGAGUGGACCAAAAUCACACCAGAGAUGGCCGCAGAUGUGCUGAAGUCAUUCAGAGCAAAGGUCUGUACACUUCCUAUUAAUUGCUGACUGUUGUAACAUUCAGGAAAAAAGAUGUUCAAAUGCCUUGGUUAUUUUGUAAAAAAAAAACAAAAAACUGUUUGACUUACAUGGUACAGUCAUAAUAAAAAAUAUUGAAACUGUUGAGUGUAGAUGAUAUCAUUCCAGAAAAAAACAGUUCUUUAUAAAUUGUUCUCUAAUUUUGAUCUCCAGUGUAUUUACAGAAUCAUCUCAGUAUAUUUGAGUGUUGUUGUUUGACAGUAGUGUUUAAUUCGCGUGGUAACUUCAGGGGCGACAUGGAUCCACACUCUUCCAUAGUUCAGCUCUUGACUUGGUUCAGCGCGCAUCACAGCGGAAACAAUAAUACCGCGCCACCUUGUGGCUAAAGAAAGUACCGCAGCCACCUAAUCCUGCCAUGGAAAUAAUCUUGGUAUAAAAUUCUCAACAGAUAAACACAAAGUUAUGUCACGAUGCCACAAUUCGGAAUUAAUUUAGGAAAACCCAAUAUAUUUUUAAAUUAUAUAUGAUUUUAAACUUAAUUAGAAAUAUGUAACUAACACUUAAGAAAGCUGGAAAUUGCGUUUGUAUUUCGCACUACCAUAUUUAAUUUUGUAUUAAGUCGAAUAUAUUGAACAAUAUGUCGCUGCUUCAGGAAGUAGUUUACGGGGAGAGGGGCGGGUGGUGACGUCACUUCCGUGUCUAUCAGGCGCACCUGUGGUCCCGUGAUAGCUGUUAGCUCGGCGAGACAGCGAGUUCUCGUCUCUUAUUUAUCAAAGUUCCUGAACAUGUGCGAGUUUAACAACUUCUAAUAAAGGUCAACGUCAUCGUAGAAGACAGAUGUCCCGCAUGGCUUCUUGAAGGUUGGGUGUCGAAGAAGAGCUUGGAGUCGCUCAUGUUGUGUGGCGCCAUGGAUUCCUUCUUUCCUCCGUGAUGGUGCCAUCUCCCUCAGAGCUUCAUGCAUCAGGCGGGUCAUGGCGAGGCUGUGGUGGAAGGUUUCCAACUGUGGUCCACCAGUGGGCCCCACUGUGUCUUCACCAAGCCUCAUCUCUUGGACCAGGUAUCAUGAAGCUCAGCGGUCGCCUGAGCUGUGACGCCUCACUCCUGCUGGUCCAGUCAGUGUUGUGUCUGACAGCAGCUCCUGAAGUCAGGUCACCGUGGAAGCUGACCACUUGUGGCCUCAGGUAUCGAGUACCAGGAGGGUGACUUCAGCCAGAUGCACCCAGGGAGUCACUGGUGAACCACAGAGCUCAUGCUGUGUGUAGAACAGUGGCAGGAUCCACUGAGCGUCAGUGGGACAGGAAGCAGAUCGACCAGAUGGGAGACACGUGUCCUGCAAGAGACAGAAUCAAUCAUCAGAGGCUUGAAGACCUGCAAAAUCAAGAUGUGAUUCAACUUGCAAAGAAACUCACCUGAAGCUGCAGAUCCUCACACUUGUGUCCAAUGAGCAAAUGUCUGUCAAUAAAAACAUGAUAAAACCA